GUUGCCGUGCCAAGAGUAGAACGGCCGGCCUGGAUGAACAGCCUGCCGGUACCAUCCAAUCCAGCUGCAGCGCCGCCUCGAGAUCCACGCCGCCAAGGUUCCCUCUCGGUGCGGCGGCUGCCGCCGGGUCCCAACCCCUACCCGGUCUUCGCCGCCUCGCGCCCUACGGCACCGGCGCCGACCCUGGCCGCCGCGGGUGAGGGCCCUUCCGGCUCCUCUGCGUCCUCCCCGGAGCCGUCGGCCGUGGCGUCUCCUCCAUCCCGCCCCAUCCAUGUCCUCCGUCUCCUCCCUCUCUACGGCCCCCAUUUGCCAGGGUUUGGCUCCCACCUCCCUCCGCCGCCGCCGCCGCCGUCGCCGGGCUUCGGCCCUCGGAGCUGGAGGGCAGCUCCAGCCAAGAGGCGAAAGAGGAGGAGGUGGCAAGUUCAAAUGGGGAGCAGGAGCGGAAUUUCAAGGACGGGGGUUGGUUCCUGCAAGUGCACAACGCAAAGAUUCUUGGCUUCUGCAAUUGUUAUCUCACAUUCUACUGAAGAGCAAUCUUCACGGACAGCUGCUGUGCAAGAGUAUCUGAUGGUGACAAACAUAUAUGACCUCGCUGCAAGGCAAGUUACUUCUCUUGUGCUGGAGAACAGAUGAAGAUCACUUGGUCCAUUGCUCUCAGCAAGGGAUACAUGCUAUCAGGAGGCAUACAUACAGAUCUAUCAAGCCUAGUUCAACUCAUCAUUUAGAGGAGGUCCGGAUGAAGGCAAUACGUUUGGUAAUUGCAAUUCUAAGAAGUCUGCACUUACAUACUACAUGUAUCAUUUAUGCACACAAACAGUACAUUAGCACAAUGGACAUGGAACAAGAGCACUAGCUAGAUGCUGCUCUGCUCUGAUCAUGUGCUACAUAUGCGUGCACGGUCACUGCAUCAGCAGUCAGUGGGUUCUGCUGCUCUGGAUGCACGCAGAAUCUUGCAUUGCUUCAUAGUCACCACGUCUAUCUGACGGCAUGCAAUGCAUGGCCUGUAUGACUGUAUACACUGCUGGCACAGGGCGAUAAUUUUUUUUGAUAAUGCAUGGCCUGUAUGGCUGUAUACCAUCUC